AAGGAAUGUAUGUACCAGGAAACUUACUGCUGUCUUGUUUGACUUAGUGUAUGUAUUAGUCCAUUCUCAUGCUGCUGAUAAAGACAUACCUGAAAAUGGGUAAAUUAUAAAGAAAAAGAGGUUUAAUGAACUCACAGUUCCAUAUGGCUGGGGAAGCCUCACAAUCAUGGAGGAAGGCGAAAGGCACGUCUUAAUGGCAGCAGUCAAGAGACAGAAUGAGAGAGAGAGACAAGUGAAAGGGGUUUCCCCUUAAAAAACCAUCAGAUCUCGUGAGACUUAUUCACUACCAUGAGAAUAGUAUGGGGGAAAUUGCCCUCAUGAUUCAAUUAUCUCCCACCAGGUCCCUGCUACAACAUGGUGGAAUUAUGGGAGCUACAAUUCAAGAUGAGAUUUGGGUUCGGACACAGCCAAACCGUAUCAGCAUAGGAUUGGAAAGUCCAUCCACGUCCAUCAGUGAGAGACCAAUGCUGAGCAAAGGAAUACUGUGCAGCAUUAAGAAGAAACCAGUUGGAUCUUCAUGUUCUGAUAUAUUGAUAUAUACAACUAAGAUGCACUGAUAAAUGAGAACAGGCAACAGAAGGCGUGUACAGUGGCUGUCCGUGCUUGCACUGAAUGCAUUCCCCUACACAUACAUGGAUUGUCCCCUUGACAGUAAGAAAGAAACAGUGGCUGCUUCUGGGGAAGACACUGGGGGACUACUUACUGAAUGCUAUUUGGUACAGCUGGAAAGUUCUACAGUGUGCAUGCAAAAGAAAACUGUUCUCACGUUCGUGUCUAAAAAGCUCCCGGGUGAAUCCGGUGCGCAUCCAGGCUUGGUAACUACUAGGUGAGACGAUUCAUUGCCACCCUCCCUCGCCCUAGGAUCUUUCAACUCUAAAGCUCAGGUCCUGGGAUUAGUGAACAAACAUAUGUGUUAGUAGUGGGUAAACUGUAGGGGCCACCAGAAGUGAAGUGUCACCAAUCAGUGAUUCAGUCUGGAAAGGUAACAGUGAUGGGAAUAAGUGCUGUGGUCAUUGUGUACAUUUCAUUGUGUACAUUUCAUAAAUCCUAGCCCCUGGCCAGUGGAAACCAAGCCAGGGCUGUAUUUGACUCCUUGCAACCGUUGGCCGCCCCUGCUUUUUCAGGAGAAGGAAGGGGGUGUAUAAUGUGACACAUCAGCAAGUCAGAACAGAGAGUACCUGUGGAAUGGGUCCUGCCAGGCCUCUGUGCCCUUUUACACAUGAUGUCUUCAAGCUUCCGGUUAGUGACUGCUAACUCUCAACUCAGCCAGCAUUGAACCGGGCACCUUCAUGGGCACUGAUCCUCUGAAUCUCACACCACCAUAUCAUCCCCAUUGUACAGACAGGAAAACUGAGGCUCAGGGGUCACGUCACUCACUUUUUACCUAGAUCCUUCUGACUACAGAGCCCGCCUGCAUCCCACUAUAUGAAUGACCUGAGUGGGCUCUGCGGCAGUGGGGCCUGUUGCCCUGGGGUCCUGUGUUUCCAGCACUCUUUGCCAACUUCACCUGUCUCAGAGCCCUCAGGGAUCCAGCACCAUGGGGUUUACUUUCCCAGGUUCUCUCUGCCCCAAGUUCAGUCACUCCAGCCCAGUGUGGGGGCAGAGAUGUGGCAGAAUGAGGGCACCUUAUGGCCCCUUGAUUCGGAGGGACUCAGUGUGCGACCUUGGCAAGCACCUGAUCCUCCUUGGGCCUCGGUUUUUCCGCGAAUGCGACGGGAAUAAGAACAGUGUCUGCUGCAGGGGUCUCAUGGGGUAUCUAGUGGAAGGUGCACUGCAUUUGCUGGCACUGAGCUUGGUGCUGAGUAAAGGCUUCAUGGAUGUUUGCAGUAAUUCCUGAAAUUAAUGUUCAGGUUGUAAGUUUGCUGUAACACCAGUUAACCCUUCACUCUUUACCCCUAGCUGGUAGAAUAGUGCCUGGUACAUAGUAGGUGCUUAGUAAAUAUUUUUUGCUGAAUGAACAAAUGAACCAUUGACCUGCUGACUGGAGCUACUGCUGACAUACUGGGUGACUUUGGGCUGGUCCAGUCCUCUCACCGAGCUUCAGUUUCUGCAUCUCCCAGUGGGUGGGACCGUUUUGCCAGGCCUCAACCCACCUAGCCCAUUUCUCUUCUGCAGCAGCCUUCAGGGAUCCAUGAGCAGCUCACAGAAAGUUGCCCUUCUGUUUCCCUGAUUAUUAACCUGCAAAUUAGACAAAUCCAUUUUGGAGUGUUCAGCGUUGCCAUGGUAUCACAACGGCUUCCGCUCCCUCUCCCAGGCAGCAGAGAAGUCUCUUCCUCUUCCCUGCCCCCUACAUCCACCCCGCCCGGGAGGCAGCCCAUUGGCCUUAAAGGGCCAGUUCUGUAAGCUCCAGAGAAAGAUGCUUGCUGAAAUCACAGAAUGGAUGUUGCCUCCUGGCAAGGCGUUCAUUUGGUCACCCUUUGGGGAGGCAAAUUGUAGCUAGGAGCUGUGGAGUCAGGGUUCCCCAAGGAAGUGGAGGCUCUCCCCAAUUGCAAGUAGUGACUAGCCCUACAUUUGGAAGGCUGAACCUCAUGCUACCUGUCCCAUCCUCAUAACAAGAUGACCCCAGAAACAGGCCUGGUGGGAAAUGGAGUGAGCUCCAAAUGGGCCCAUUGACCAGAGGAACCUGGUUCAGCAAAAAGCCAGAGCAUCACAGACAUUAGGCCACUCCUGUGGGGCAUCACUUAACGUUGUUUAAAACUCCAGAUUUAAAUUAAGUCACGGUUGCCCUCAGAGGCCACUGCCGUGGGCCUUGGGGACAGAAGUUCUUAAAGGCACUGCCAUGGUAAGAGGGAAGGGCCAAAACUUUGUAUAAGUAACAAAGGUUCUGGCAAAGGUUAAUAAAUAAUCAUUGAAUGCCAGGUAUCGGCAUUACGGAAUUAAACCGUCUUAAUUGGCAUUGUCUCUGCUAGGAGAGACCCUGACAUAUGUAUGUUUUCAAAGUGUGGUGUCUGUUCAUCUUCUGUCUCUAAACAGACAAAAGCUCCCUGAGGGCAUGGUUGGCUUCUCUUAAUUCAGUGUCAUCUGCACUCUGCCACAGCACUAAGCACCUGGCUGCCCAGUCACUCUGGGUUCAUCGACUCUUAGAGAACGCCAUGGGAAGAGUAUAGGCUUACCAGUCCGACAGACUGGGUGGAAACUGCGGUAAAGAAAACUUAGGUUCUGUCUGUUAAUAGCUGUGCCUUAAGCAAGGUAUAAGUGAGGGUUCAAUGAGGGAAGAGGCCACUAGAAUGAGUGGAAUAAGGGACUUGUUAUUGGAAUUUGACCUUUCACAGUGUGGGAGAAGGAAGGUCUGGAUUACAGAGUGGAUGGUCCGAGGGGACAAGGGCCAGUCGAUCUGGAAGCCACGUGGGGAAGUUGAAGGAGGAGAAUCCAGGAAGCUUCUGCCACUGAGCAUCUGGGCUGGACACAGGGCAGAAGGAGGCAAAGGCCCAUGGAAACCCACUGGCGUCUCUGCAACCUGCUGCCACCACAUCCAAUGAGGCUGGCCUGAGAGUGAAGGCUGCUGCUCCCCCACCUCUGGAUUCUCAUGCCUCUUUUGGCCAGCUCAGACCCAGAGCUGUACUGGGGAAUGGGAUUCUGAACAACACAGCUCCAACCUGUCCACAUCAACACAGCACAGACCAACAUGGCCAAGUGUUAGGCCCUUCUGAGCCUCGGUUUCCUCGACCCAGCCGAUACCUUGCUAAUUUAUUUGAGUUCAUUGUAGAUUCUGGAUAAAUCCAGCAUCCCUUUAUGAUUAAAACUCUCACCAAAAUCUGUAUACAAGGGACAUACCUUAAUGUAAUAAAAACCAUCUAACCCAUAGCCAACAUAAUACUGAAUGGGGGAAAGCUGAAAGCAUUCCAUCUGAGAACUGGAACAAGACAAGGAUGUCCACUCUCACCACUUCUAUUCAACAUAGUAGUGGAAGUCCCAGCCAAAGCAAUCAGACAAGAGAAAGAAAUAAAGGGCAUCCAAACUGGUAAAGACAAAGUCAAACUGUCACUGUGUGCUGAUGAUAUGACUGUAUAGCUAGAAAACCCUCAAGACUCCUCCAGAAAGCUCCUAGAACUGAUAAAAUAAUUCAGCAAAGUUUUAGGACACAAAAUUAAAGUACACAAAUCAGUGGCUCUCCUGUGCACCAACAGUGGUUACUCUGAAAAUUAAAUCAAGAACACAACUCCUUUUACAAUAGCUGCAA
rnacentral:lncRNA from 1 species